rnacentral:rRNA from 1 species
AUUGAACGCUGGCGGCAUGCUUUACACAUGCAAGUCGAACGGUAACAGGCCGCAAGGUGCUGACGAGUGGCGCACGGGUGAGUAAUGCAUCGGAACGUGCCCAGUCGUGGGGGAUAACUACUCGAAAGAGUAGCUAAUACCGCAUACGAUCUAUGGAUGAAAGCGGGGGACCGUAAGGCCUCGCGCGAUUGGAGCGGCCGAUGUCAGAUUAGGUAGUUGGUGGGGUAAAGGCUCACCAAGCCAACGAUCUGUAGCUGGUCUGAGAGGACAACCAGCCACACUGGGACUGAGACACGGCCCAGACUCCUACGGGAGGCAGCAGUGGGGAAUUUUGGACAAUGGGCGCAAGCCUGAUCCAGCAAUGCCGCGUGCAGGAAGAAGGCCUUCGGGUUGUAAACUGCUUUUGUACGGAACGAAACGGCUCCGGUUAAUACCCGGGGCUAAUGACGGUACCGUAAGAAUAAGCACCGGCUAACUACGUG